UGGCAAUUAUUGGAGGCGUGCCCGUAAGC
rnacentral:sRNA from 1 species